ACUGGAAUUGACAGCUUGGUGAGUAGAGUGUAAGCAUGCAGGGAGUUGAGCGAGUCUUCCUUAAAAAAUUCGUUCGAACAAUAAUUGGCGAAACUAACUACGCCCUUGCUGCCUAAUUUAAGAUAAUUAGCUAAUGCAAGUGUCUCGCCGGCGUUGCGGUCCUGUAGCGUCGGUAUAUGAGGCAUCGAACCACAGGACUAGCGUGCGUGGUGUCGUGACGCGCAUGGCGAACUUCAGCGACUACGGAGGCUGAUCAGGUCCGUUCGGUACCUUUGGUCUCUCGACAACCCAAACCGCAACUAAGCAUGUAGAAGGCACUC
rnacentral:tmRNA from 1 species